rnacentral:rRNA from 1 species
CCUACGGGUGGCUGCAGUGGGGAAUAUUGGACAAUGGGCGAAAGCCUGAUCCAGCCAUGCCGCGUGUGUGAAGAAGGCCUUCGGGUUGUAAAGCACUUUCAGUGGGGAAGAAAGCCUUGGGGCUAAUACCCUCGAGGAAGGACAUCACCCACAGAAGAAGCACCGGCUAACUCCGUGCCAGCAGCCGCGGUAAUACGGAGGGUGCGAGCGUUAAUCGGAAUUACUGGGCGUAAAGCGCGCGUAGGCGGUCUGAUAAGCCGGUUGUGAAAGCCCCGGGCUCAACCUGGGAACGGCAUCCGGAACUGUCAGGCUAGAGUGCAGGAGAGGAAGGUAGAAUUCCCGGUGUAGCGGUGAAAUGCGUAGAGAUCGGGAGGAAUACCAGUGGCGAAGGCGGCCUUCUGGACUGACACUGACGCUGAGGUGCGAAAGCGUGGGUAGCAAACAGGAUUAGAAACCCCAGUAGUC